rnacentral:rRNA from 1 species
GACGAACGCUGGCGGCGUGCUUAACACAUGCAAGUCGAACGAUGAACUUGGAGCUUGCUCUGGGGGAUUAGUGGCGAACGGGUGAGUAACACGUGAGUAACCUGCCCUGGACUCUGGGAUAACUUCGAGAAAUCGGAGCUAAUACCGGAUAGGACCUUGCACCGCAUGGUGUGGGGUGGAAAGUUUUUCGGUUUGGGAUGGACUCGCGGCCUAUCAGCUUGUUGGUGAGGUAAUGGCUCACCAAGGCGUCGACGGGGAGCCGGCCUGAGAGGGUGACCGGCCACACUGGGACUGAGACACGGCCCAGACUCCUACGGGAGGCAGCAGUGGGGAAUAUUGCACAAUGGGCGCAAGCCUGAUGCAGCAACGCCGCGUGCGGGAUGACGGCCUUCGGGUUGUAAACCUCUUUUAGUAGGGAAGAAGCGAAAGUGACGGUACCUGCAGAAAAAGCACCGGCUAACUACGUGCAGCCGCCGCGGUAACAC